rnacentral:rRNA from 1 species
UACGUAGGGUGCAGGCGUUAAUCGGAAUUACUGGGCGUAAAGCGUGCGCAGGCGGUUUCUUAAGUCAGAUGUGAAAGCCCCGGGCUUAACCUGGGAACUGCGUUUGAAACUGGGAGACUUGAGUGUGGCAGAGGGGGGUGGAAUUCCACGUGUAGCAGUGAAAUGCGUAGAUAUCGGGAGGAACACCAGUGGCGAAGGCGGCUUCCUGGGCAUUACCUGACGCUGAGGCGCGAAAGCGUGGGGAGCGAACCGG